UGGAUCCAGACUUUGAUAUGGCUCAGGAUGAACGCUAGCUACAGGCUUAACACAUGCAAGUCGAGGGGAAACGACAUCGAAAGCUUGCUUUUGAUGGGCGUCGACCGGCGCACGGGUGAGUAACGCGUAUCCAACCUGCCCACCACUUGGGGAUAACCUUGCGAAAGUAAGACUAAUACCCAAUGAUAUCUCUAGAAGACAUCUGAAAGAGAUUAAAGAUUUAUCGGUGAUGGAUGGGGAUGCGUCUGAUUAGCUUGUUGGCGGGGUAACGGCCCACCAAGGCAACGAUCAGUAGGGGUUCUGAGAGGAAGGUCCCCCACAUUGGAACUGAGACACGGUCCAAACUCCUACGGGAGGCAGCAGUGAGGAAUAUUGGUCAAUGGACGAGAGUCUGAACCAGCCAAGUAGCGUGCAGGAUGACGGCCCUAUGGGUUGUAAACUGCUUUUAUAAGGGAAUAAAGUGAGUCUCGUGGGACUUUUUGCAUGUACCUUAUGAAUAAGGACCGGCUAAUUCCGUGCCAGCAGCCGCGGUAAUACGGAAGGUCCGGGCGUUAUCCGGAUUUAUUGGGUUUAAAGGGAGCGUAGGCCGGAGAUUAAGCGUGUUGUGAAAUGUAGACGCUCAGCGUCUGCACUGCAGCGCGAACUGGUUUCCUUGAGUACGCACAAAGUGGGCGGAAUUCGUGGUGUAGCGGUGAAAUGCUUAGAUAUCACGAAGAACUCCGAUUGCGAAGGCAGCUCACUGGAGCGCAACUGACGCUGAAGCUCGAAAGUGCGGGUAUCGAACAGGAUUAGAUACCCUGGUAGUCCGCACGGUAAACGAUGGAUGCCCGCUGUUGGUCUGAAUAGGUCAGCGGCCAAGCGAAAGCAUUAAGCAUCCCACCUGGGGAGUACGCCGGCAACGGUGCAACUCAAAGGAAUUGACGGA
rnacentral:rRNA from 1 species